rnacentral:rRNA from 3 species
UUUCCAGAGAUGGAUUGGUGCCUUCGGGAACUGUGAGACAGGUGCUGCAUGGCUGUCGUCAGCUCGUGUUGUGAAAUGUUGGGUUAAGUCCCGCAACGAGCGCAACCCUUAUCCUUUGUUGCCAGCGGUCCGGCCGGGAACUCAAAGGAGACUGCCAGUGAUAAACUGGAGGAAGGUGGGGAUGACGUCAAGUCAUCAUGGCCCUUACGACCAGGGCUACACACGUGCUACAAUGGCGCAUACAAAGAGAAGCGACCUCGC